rnacentral:rRNA from 1 species
CGAAAACCUUACCUACCCUUGACAUGGUACGGAACGGGGCAGAGACGUCCCGGUGCCCGAAAGGGAACCGUAACACAGGUGCUGCAUGGCUGUCGUCAGCUCGUGUCGUGAGAUGUUGGGUUAAGUCCCGCAACGAGCGCAACCCUUACCAUUAGUUGCUACAUUCAGUUGGGCACUCUAAUGGGACUGCCGGUGACAAACCGGAGGAAGGUGGGGAUGACGUCAAGUCCUCAUGGCCCUUAUGGGUAGGGCUUCACACGUAAUACAAUGGCCGGUACAGAGGGUUGCCAACCCGCGAGGGGGAGCCAAUCCCAGAAAGCCGGUCGUAGUCCGGAUUGUUCUCUGCAACUCGAGAGCAUGAAGUCGGAAUCGCUAGUAAUCGCGGAUCAGCACGCCGCGGUGAAUACGUUCCCGGGUCUUGUACACACCGCCCGUCACACCAUGGGAGUGGGUUUCACCAGAAGCAGCUAGCCUAACCGCAAGGAGGGCGGCUUCCACGGUGAGAUUCAUGACUGGGGUGAAGUCGUAACAAGGUAAGCGUAGUGCU